AUUUAAAUCAAGUAAUAUCACAAAUGUCAACUUGUCAUUCAAAUAGAGUCAAGUAUUCGUCAAUUACAUCUCGCUCCAUUGAUUCUGUAAUCACGUGGUGUCAAAUUUGUAUAUGCUCGUUCGGCUCCAGAUUUUUCAAACCGAAACACCUUGUGAAUAGUGAUAUUUUACAUAAUGUGCACUGUCAACUGUCAAAGUUCCAAAAUUGACAGGUGUGGUGUAUUCAGGUGUAUACGUUUAACGGUUUUUGUUUUGAAUUUUUGCAGAAGUGACUGGAUAAAUUGUGAAUAUUGGUAUAUAUUCCUAUUUUUGUGAAAAUGCUUCCUGGUGAGAGCGAUGGUCGUAAUAUUUCGAUCAAUUCAUCUGGGUCUUCCACAAAAAGUGAACCUGUUCAAAACUGUAGGAGAAAUUUGCAAAAUAAUUUUGAAGAUGUAAACCCAACAAGGAGCACACCCGCUGAUAGGUCAGUUUUAUCAACCUUGUCUUUGAAUGAUAACACAAGAAAAGUGUUGAGAAACGGGGCCGAGAGGCUCUCAAAAACUUUCAAUACAUUUCGUACAGCUAUAGGCACUAUGACUCAGAGGUUCAAAAUAUCAACCAAAAGAAGACAAAUUCUCGAAGAAGGCCCUGUGACUCCUAAUUGCACUACUCCUUAUUCGAAGCAAGUUUUAGGCAGAACACCUACAAAGCUGUAUAGUCCAUUCAGUAUUGAGAGUCCUUACAAUCCCACCACUUACGAUAAAAAAAACAUUCCUUGAUUUUAUUUUAUAAAUUAUCAGAAUCAGUAUUUUUUCAUUUAGCAAUUCUUUGGUGAAGAAACAUAUCCGAUCUUAGAGUAUUGCAUACAAUUUUCCAGCACUUGUCUAGCUAGUAGCUUUAGCCUGUUAUGUAGUUUGUUACUUUAAUAUUUUUUUCAUACAAAUUCAUAAUUCAAAUGCUCUUUUGUCUUCUCAAUAUCCCAUGAACUAUAUUUUUGAUUACUUCAAUAUAAAGUUGUGCAGGAAGCUGUCAAAACAAUAAAAUUGAGAUAAUGAAAAUAAUGAAAAUCUAAUGAGGCAAUAGUAAAAGAACAGACCUGAGAAUUAUUAAAAAUUUUUGCUAGUGUAUAGUAACUUUGUAACAGAUAUGCUUUCAGUAUUUAUUUGAAGUCGUACAGUUGCUUUGAAUCCCUCACAUAUUCAGGAAGGUAAUUGUGAAUUUUUGGACCAGAAUAAGUUACUUUUAAUUUUGCAAUUUUCACAUAUGGAACUGGUUUUUGAUUCUUGUAUCGAGGUGGUGAAAACUCUUAUCUAAUGAAAACUUUGACUUAUUUUCAUGUGAAAUUUGACUCAUUUUCAUGUAAAAUAUAAAAAAUGACUUAUUGAAUGUUGAAAUUUAAUUGUUCAUCCAGUAGUAAUUAAUAAACUAUAAUUCGUUGAUACGAAUUAUAGUUUAAUGACUUAACUAUCUGAAUUGAAAUUUAUAUCAGAAACAGCAUCCAUAAGACUUACAAAUUCUCUCUAAUCACUUUCAACAUGCUUCUCUGCAUAUUCAAAAUAUCUUUUUAGAAUUAAUUAUAGUCAAAUAACUAUUGAGAUAACCAAUAAGUUAAUGUAUGCUUUAUGAAGACAAUUAUAUUUUAAUGAAAAUAUCUUUUCAAUAUUAUUCUUCACCAACGGAAUGCUACUCAAAAUGAAUGACAUUUCAUUUGUAAAUACUCACUGUACUGUUUGUUAUCAGUAUUAUUUUUGCAUUCGACUACUGUAUACAAUUUUCUAACUGCUCAAAUUAUAUUUAAAGAUUGUAUUGAUGAGAA